AGAGUUUGAUCAUGGCUCAGAACGAACGCUGGCGGCGUGCCUAAUACAUGCAAGUGGGACGCUAAUCAGUGGAUAGCAAUAUUUACUGGUUGGAGUCGCGUAAGGGUGCGUAACACGUGGGUAAUUUGCCGCGAAGCUCGGAAUAACCUGCCGAAAGGCAAGCUAAUACCGAAUGUGACUGAUCCUGGGCAUCUGGGGUCAGUCAAAGCCGGGGACCGUAAGGCCUGGCACUUCGCGAUAAGCCCGCGGCCUAUCAGCUAGUUGGUGGGGUAACGGCUCACCAAGGCUUAAACGGGUAGCUGGUCUUAGAGGACGACCAGCCACACUGGAACUGAGACACGGUCCAAACACCUACGGGUGGCAGCAGUCGAGAAUUUUUCACAAUGGGCGAAAGCCUGAUGGAGCGACACCACGGGGGGGAUGAAUGGCUUCGGCCCGUAAACCCCUGUCAUUCGGGAUCAAUACCUGCAACCUAACACGUUGCGGUUUGAUAGUACUGAAAGAGGAAGGGACGGCUAACUCUGUGCCAGCAGCCGCGGUAAUACAGAGGUCCCAAGCGUUGUUCGGAUUUACUGGGCGUAGAGGGAGCGUACGUGGCGGGCAAAGUCUAAUGUGAAAGCUCUGAGCUCAACUCGUACAUGGCAUUGAAUACUGACUUGCUUGAAGAUUGGAGGGGAGACUGGAAUUCUCGGUGUAUCAGUGAAAUGCGUAGAUAUCAAGAGGAACAUCAGUGGCGAAUGCGAGUCUCUGGACAAUUCCUGACACUGAUGCUCGAAAGCUAGGGGAGCAAACGGGAUUACAUACCCCGGUAGUCCUAGCUGUAACGGUGCGCGCUUGCCGUCGUGGAUUCGACCCCGCCUGUGCGCAGCUAACGCGUUAAGCGAGCUGCAGCGAGUACGGUCGCAGAUGACACUCAAGAAUUGACGGGGGCCUGCACAGCGCGGAGUAUGUGGCUCAA
rnacentral:rRNA from 1 species